rnacentral:misc_RNA from 1 species
GAUGAAGAACGUAGCGAAAUGCGAUAAGUAAUGUGAAUUGCAGAAUUCAGUGAAUCAUCGAAUCUUUGAACGCACAUUGCGCCCGCCAGCACUCUGGCGGGCAUGCCUGUUCGAGCGUCAUUUCAACCAUCAAGCCCCCAGGGGCUUGUGCUGGGGCCCUGCGGCUGCCCGCAGGCCCUGAAAACCAGUGGCGGGCUCGCUAGUCACACCGAGCGCAGUAGCACAUCUCGCUCAGGGCGUGCGGCGGGUUCCGGCCGUUAAAAAGCCUUUUUUACCCAAGGUUGACCUCGGAUCAGGUAGGAAGACCCGCUGAACUUAAGCAUAUCAAUAAGCGGAGGA